CUCUUCCCCCAGAGCCAAUCCCGCUGUGCUUUGUGGUUGCACAGUAACUGCUUAUGUCUCCCCUGACAGAAGAGGAACCUGGGAAGCAGAGGCAGGCACUAGGCAGACUCCAGCUGGUGUGGCCCUGAGGGUAGUGAUAAGUACAUUCCCGCUGAAAUGAUGCUCUAGGUGUGCUAGUCACAGCUCCAGCUACCGGGUCUGUGCACUCAUUUCCUCCCCACAGCCACCUGCCCUACAGAAGAGGAAACAGACACACACAGGGAAAGAAAAACUAGCCACGGAAGACCUCGUCUUAGCGUCUCCUGCCCAAGGAGCGGAAUUCAGCAGCUGUAUUAAACCUGCACAGUGUGUGCACUAAAUAUUGCUCCAGGUGCCUCUGCCAAGGGGCUCACCUUCACCGACACGAACCAGCAAGCAAACAAGAUUGUUCCCGGUAGUAGAUGUUCUGGGAAAAUGUACGAAAUAAACACCAAGGGGAAAUUAAAGAACGAGAACUCAGAUCCGCCUCCAUGGAGAGAACAAAUUGGUUUGGAAGAAAAACAGAAGGAAGGAAGAAAGGAACCAAGAACCGAGCAGAGGAGGAAGCUUUUGCUGCUCUAAGGCGC
rnacentral:lncRNA from 1 species